rnacentral:misc_RNA from 1 species
AUUACGCAAGCUGUAGCCCCCUCUCGGGGGUUAUUGCAUCCACCCUUUGUCUAUUGGUACCUCUUGUUGUUUCCUCGGCGGGCUUGCCCGCCGUUAGGGACCCCCUUAAACCCUUGUAUUUAUAGUAUUAAAAUCUCUGAUAACCAUGUAAAUUAUUA